rnacentral:rRNA from 1 species
GACCCCGCACAAGCGGCGGAGCAUGCGGCUUAAUUCGAUGCAACGCGAAGAACCUUACCAGGGUUUGACAUCCUGCGAAUCUCUUGGAAACAGGAGAGUGCCUUCGGGAACGCAGUGACAGGUGGUGCAUGGCUGUCGUCAGCUCGUGUCGUGAGAUGUUGGUUAAGUCCCGCAACGAGCGCAACCCACGUCUUUAGUUGCCAGCAUUUAGUUGGGCACUCUAGAGAGACUGCCGGUGAUAAACCGGAGGAAGGUGUGGAUGACGUCAAGUCAUCAUGCCCCUUACAUCCUGGGCUACACACGUACUACAAUGCUACGGACAAAGGGCAGCAAGUUCGCGAGGACAAG